rnacentral:rRNA from 1 species
UGGGGAAUAUUGGACAAUGGGCGAAAGCCUGAUCCAGCCAUGCCGCGUGUGUGAAGAAGGUCUUCGGAUUGUAAAGCACUUUAAGUUGGGAGGAAGGGCAGUAAGCGAAUACCUUGCUGUUUUGACGUUACCGACAGAAUAAGCACCGGCUAACUCUGUGCCAGCAGCCGCGGUAAUACAGAGGGUGUAAGCGUUAAUCGGAAUUACUGGGCGUAAAGCGCGCGUAGGUGGUUCGUUAAGUUGAAUGUGAAAGCCCCGGGCUCAACCUGGGAACUGCAUCCAAAACUGGCGAGCUAGAGUAGGGCAGAGGGUGGUGGAAUUUCCUGUGUAGCGGUGAAAUGCGUAGAUAUAGGAAGGAACACCAGUGGCGAAGGCGACCACCUGGGCUCAUACUGACACUGAGGUGCGAAAGCGUGGGGAGCAAACAGG